UCAUAAUGAACCUUUCAGAGUUGCCUAGAGGUUGCUGCAGAUUAAUUCUCACUCUCUCUGUCUAGGUUUCUCUUCAGGUUUUGUCCAAGGAAACCUCAGAGUGUUUUGCUUCUCUUCCUUUUUCUGUCUGUUCUCCCUUUUUUAUAACCUGAUUUUCAUGGCUUUGUGGGCUCAAAUGAGAGAGGUCCAAGUCUGAGAUUUUUUCUUUUAUUUAUUUAUUUAUUUAUUUAUUUUAUUUAUUUAUUUAAUUUUUUUUUUGUUUUUGUUUUUG
rnacentral:lncRNA from 1 species